AGACAGAUGUAGUGAGUGAACGGUGGAGCAGAAAUGGCACGAGACCAGGGUGUUGUUGCCGAGUCUGAUGUCUCGGAGGUGUUCCAUGAACCAGUCAGCCAAGUGGUGUCCCGUUUGAU